GAGGAGUUCAUUUAGAUUUGUAUUUUGGAAAUGAGUGACCAACAGGCAGCUACCCCAGGCCUGGCGGAGGAGAAGUCAGUCGAAGAUACUCAGAAGGAAGGAAGCGUGGAUGUUAAGAGCGAGACGUGUACGAAGGAAUGUUCGCACGGAGAUGACUCUCACGUCACGGACAAAGGCGAAUGCCACGGAAAAGACGCGGGAAAAGAAGAGAAAUGAUCAAAAUUUUUACGUAGAAAAGUUUUUUUACAAAUUAAUGUAGAAAAUUGUUAGAAUUUGAAUCAAUUCCUCCUCGCGACUAUAGUCGUUUAAUUAUUUAAAUAUGUUUUUUUAGUGAACGGAAUUCGGACCAUUACCCGGAAAAUUUAUAUAAAAGUUUGGAUUUUAAUAAUUUUUGAUAAAUUAUAGUUGUAGUAGAAUUGAUUUAAGCAAAAUUUCGAGAUGAAAGUCGUAGUGCCAGAAUAAAAAUCAUUAUGUAAUUGUCCGAUUGUAUUAGAGUUACUAAAUUAUUUUGUUUACGAGAUGAAUAAAAUGUGAUGAAUUAAAUUUUUGUAA